UAUAUACUCCCUCCGUCCAAAAAUACUUGUCGGAGAAAUAGGUAAAAAAUGGAUGUAUCUAGAACUAAAAUGCAUCUGGAUACAUCCAUUUCUCCAACAAGUAUUUUCAGACGGAGGGGGUACAGA
rfam:Triticum aestivum genome assembly, contig: Triticum_aestivum_CS42_TGACv1_scaffold_641558_T_2BS-0.123650_7BL-0.102080